ACCCCUCAGACGGUGAGAUUGUACUUCCUCACCUAUUUGACGUUAGGAGUGGCCACGUGACAGGCCCUCGCCAACACAACGAACCGAAGGAACAUGUGUUACCAGUUAGCAUUUUGCCACGUUCUCUUUAUCCAUCUGCGCGACGACCGGCCAUUUCCAGGCAGUGGCUGCUCUCUCUGCCCAAAUCCAGCUUGAGGAGAAGCAGAAACCAGUGCCUCUCCAAAACACGUAGCCCGAGUGAGGAGUAAACCUUUGUUGUUGGAAGCAACUACGGCUUGGGGGCUGUUUGUCACAAAGCCCAACGUAACUCAUGCUGACUGACACUUCCUCGUUCUGUGACCUUGGCAAAGCUACUUAACCUCUCCAAGUUUCCACUUCCUCCCCGGUGAAAUGUAGAUGUUGAUAUUCCCAUUCCAUAGGUGGGUGGAAAAAACCAAUUAAUGUCUAAAGUGCUCAGCCCUGUACCUGGCGCCUGGUGGGCACCUGUGAAGCAAUAGGGAUUAUUAUGAUCUCACCAUAGGGGCUCUUCCCCAUCUGUCAAAUGGGAACGGGCGUCUAGACUGAGGGGAUCCAGUGAUGCUUGCCACCUGUCUUUCUACCAUAGCAGCCAUAUAAAGAUACUUACACAUGAAUAAGAAAUGGUCAACGUAGAUGCAAGAAAACCUAAGAGAGGGAAGCCCUGUCCUCACCACGAGGAGCACACACUAAGGAAGGGGCAGGUGGCAACAGCCAGGAGGCAGGUACCGUGCUUCGGAAAUUCACCUGCAUUUUGUAAUUUCAUCCACACCACAGCACUUUGAGCAGAUAAAAAUGGCCUCAUGGAAACAUACCCUGACUUGACUGGUCUCUGUUUGGAAACAAGCAGAUAUAGGCAGGACAUGGAAAUACAAGAAGAGACAUGGAAAAGAUACAUUUUUGAAACGUCCGAAUGAACGCGCUAAAGACUGAGCUGCAGGUGCUGUCUACACACUAAUGAGUUCCAUGACCACGUGCUCCGAGUAAUGCGUCUAUGACCACGUGCUCGGAGCUGCUCUGGGGCGCAGAUGACAGCUGAAUCAACUGAAAGGAACUGCGCACGAGCCAAGGAGGUCCAGAGAGACAAGGGGACAGAGGAUCUGGCGGGCUUCAGGCUGACAGC